AUGCCCAACCGUAAAAUCAUUCACACCACAUACGCCAGGGCAUUACGAGCUUAGCUUAAAACCCAAAGGACUUGACGGUGUCUCACCCCACUAGAGGAGCCUGUCCUAGAAUCGAUAAUCCCCGUUAAACCUUACCACUUCUUGCUUGAUUCAGUUAGUAUACUUCCGUCGUAAGCUUACCAUAUGAAUGUUAGUAGUGGGCCUAAUGAUAAUACAUCAGUACGUCAGGUCAAGGUGCAGCAUAAGAGGUGGGCUGAGAUUGGCUACAAUUUCUAAUAUAGAACACGCGGAGCAUUAAAUGAAAUACAAAUGCAAAGGGGGAUCUAGUAGUAAAAAGAAAAUAAAGUGUUCUUUUUAAUAAGGGCACUGGGACGCGUACAAACCGCCCGUCACCCUCCUCAACAAUUUAUAUUAGUAAAUAACACAAACUUUACCACUAGAGGAGGCAAGUCGUAACACGGUAAGUGUGCCGGAAGGCGCACUUGGAUAG
rnacentral:rRNA from 1 species